rnacentral:rRNA from 1 species
CUACGGGACGCACCAGUGAGGAAUAUUGCACAAUGGGGGGAACCCUGAUGCAGCAACGCCGCGUGGAGGAUGACGCAUUUCGGUGUGUAAACUCCUUUUAUAUGUCAAGAAAAUGACGGUAGCAUAUGAAUAAGCACCGGCUAACUCCGUGCCAGCAGCCGCGGUAAUACGGAGGGUGCAAGCGUUACUCGGAAUCACUGGGCGUAAAGGACGCGUAGGCGGGUUGGAAAGUCAGGUGUGAAAUCCUACAGCUUAACUGUAGAACUGCACUUGAAACUUCUAAUCUAGGGUAUGGGAGGGGGAGAUGGAAUUAGUGGUGUAGGGGUAAAAUCCGUAGAUAUCACUAGGAAUACCUAAAGCGAAGGCGAUCUCCUGGAACAUUACUGACGCUAAGGCGUGAAGGCGUGGGGAGCAAACAGGAUUAGAUACCCUUGUAGUC